GGGAUAGGCUGUGCCCGAGGAAAGGAAGAUGUAGUGCUCCAGGUCCCUGGAAUAAGGGACUAGGAAGCAGCUCUGGGAAAUGAGCAGAGCUGGGAAAUUGCCAGGAGCAGGCAUGCCAGAGAAGCCUUUGGAGAGUGGCCCUGAAGUAUGAGAGAAAUGAGUUGUCAUUCAGGUUGUGAAUCACUUCAGCAAGAGCUUUUUUGAAUGUUAAGGUGCAACUGGGGAAAAAGCAGUCCUGCACCUCUCAUGAGGCCAAAAGAAAGUCUGCCGAGCCAACCCACCCAGCACAAAGAUUCUAGUUCUGAGGGGAGGCAUAAACUGUCACAUUCCUCCAUGUUUUAUUGUAAACACAAAAGAUAUAUGUUCUCUGUUAGCUGGGGUGAAAUGUGAAUUUCUUCUUGUAUCAAGUAACUUGUGAAUUCAAGUUUAAAACAGUUAGCUCUAUGAAACAGCUUUGGAAGUAUCUGAAGUGGCAAAAACUUCAAGGAGGUGGCUGUUCCCAGACUGCUGUGAUUGACAAGUCUGGUAUCCCUCUCAAACGAGCUGCAAGCAGGAGUACUCAA